rnacentral:misc_RNA from 1 species
CGCACCUUGCACCCUUUGGUAUUCCGAAGGGUAUGCCUGUUUGAGUGUCAUUAAAAUAUCAACCUUGAGACGUUCUUUUGAGCGUCGCAAGGCUUGGACUUGGGGGUUUCUUGCUGCCGCUCGCGGUGGCUCCCCUUAAAGACAUUAGCCGAGGUCCUCUCUCUGCCUAUUGGUGUGAUAACUAUCAUCGCCGAUUAAGCAAGUGAGACUUUGCUUCCAAUCGUCUUCGGACAGCUCCUCUCGGGGCUCUUUAAUGACUAUUGUGACCUCAAAUCAGGUAGGACUACCCGCUGAACUUAA